rnacentral:rRNA from 1 species
AUACAUGCAAGUCGAGCGGACAGAAGGGAGCUUGCUCCCGGAUGUUAGCGGCGGACGGGUGAGUAACACGUGGGUAACCUGCCUGUAAGACUGGGAUAACUCCGGGAAACCGGAGCUAAUACCGGAUAGUUCCUUGAACCGCAUGGUUCAAGGAUGAAAGACGGUUUCGGCUGUCACUUACAGAUGGACCCGCGGCGCAUUAGCUAGUUGGUGAGGUAACGGCUCACCAAGGCGACGAUGCGUAGCCGACCUGAGAGGGUGAUCGGCCACACUGGGACUGAGACACGGCCCAGACUCCUACGGGAGGCAGCAGUAGGGAAUCUUCCGCAAUGGACGAAAGUCUGACGGAGCAACGCCGCGUGAGUGAUGAAGGUUUUCGGAUCGUAAAGCUCUGUUGUUAGGGAAGAACAAGUGCAAGAGUAACUGCUUGCACCUUGACGGUACCUAACCAGAAAGCCACGGCUAACUACGUGCCAGCAGCCGCGGUAAUACGUAGGUGGCAAGCGUUGUCCGGAAUUAUUGGGCGUAAAGGGCUCGCAGGCGGUUUCUUAAGUCUGAUGUGAAAGCCCCCGGCUCAACCGGGGAGGGUCAUUGGAAACUGGGAAACUUGAGUGCAGAAGAGGAGAGUGGAAUUCCACGUGUAGCGGUGAAAUGCGUAGAGAUGUGGAGGAACACCAGUGGCGAAGGCGACUCUCUGGUCUGUAACUGACGCUGAGGAGCGAAAGCGUGGGGAGCGAACAGGAUUAG